rnacentral:rRNA from 1 species
UACGUAGGGGGCUAGCGUUGUCCGGAAUCAUUGGGCGUAAAGCGCGUGUAGGCGGUCCGGUAAGUCCGCUGUGAAAGUCGAGGGCUCAACCCUCGAAUGCCGGUGGAUACUGUCGGGCUUGAGUACGGGAGAGGCGAGUGGAAUUCCUGGUGUAGCGGUGAAAUGCGCAGAUAUCAGGAGGAACACCGGUGGCGAAGGCGGGUCUCUGGGCCGUAACUGACGCUGAGGAGCGAAAGCGUGGGGAGCGAACAGG